rnacentral:rRNA from 1 species
UACAGAGGUCUCAAGCGUUGUUCGGAUUCAUUGGGCGUAAAGGGUGCGUAGGUGGCGCGGUAAGUCGGGUGUGAAAUUUCGGAGCUUAACUCCGAAACUGCAUUCGAUACUGCCGUGCUUGAGGACUGGAGAGGAGACUGGAAUUUACGGUGUAGCAGUGAAAUGCGUAGAGAUCGUAAGGAAGACCAGUGGCGAAGGCGGGUCUCUGGACAGUUCCUGACAGCUGGAGGCACGAAGGCCAGGGGAGCAAACGGG